CGGACGAUAGCUCAGCUUGGGAGAGCAGCGGCACAUGCCGUUGGCCACCGGUUCAAAUCCGGUUCGUCCAC
rnacentral:tRNA from 1 species